rnacentral:misc_RNA from 1 species
AAGUCGUAACAAGGUUUCCGUAGGUGAACCUGCGGAAGGAUCAUUAUCGUAACUCGAAGGGGCCGUUCGGGGGCUUUCGGCCCCGCACCGGUGGAGACGCCGUGUCGCGGGCCGUCCCCGUUCGCCUCGUCCACACCCACACCCCUGUGCACCUUUGGGAAGGCGGGUUAGCGCCCGUCGGCCCGACAUACCAACUCUGUAAUGUGAAUGUCGUCGGCGGACUUGUGUGCCGUCCUAACAAAUAACAACUUUCAACAACGGAUCUCUUGGCUCUC